AUUGAACGCUGGCGGCAUGCUUUACACAUGCAAGUCGAGCGGCAGCGCGGGGGCAACCCUGGCGGCGAGCGGCGAACGGGUGCGUAAUGCAUCGGAACGUAUCCUCGAGUGGGGGAUAACCCAGCGAAAGUUGGGCUAAUACCGCAUGAGCUCUGAGGAGGAAAGCGGGGGACCUGCGAGGGCCUCGCGCUGGAGGAGCGGCCGAAGUCCGAUUAGCUAGUUGGUGGGGUAAAGGCUUACCAAGGCGACGAUCGGUAGCUGGUCUGAGAGGAUGAUCAGCCACACUGGGACUGAGACACGGCCCAGACUCCUACGGGAGGCAGCAGUGGGGAAUUUUGGACAAUGGGGGCAACCCUGAUCCAGCCAUGCCGCGUGAGUGAAGAAGGCCUUCGGGUUGUAAAGCUCUUUCGGACGGAACGAAAUGGGCGGGACUAAUACUCCUGUCUGAUGACGGUACCGUAAGAAGAAGCACCGGCUAACUACGUG
rnacentral:rRNA from 1 species